rnacentral:rRNA from 1 species
UACGGAGGGGGCUAGCGUUAUUCGGAAUUACUGGGCGUAAAGCGCACGUAGGCGGACCGGAAAGUCAGAGGUGAAAUCCCAGGGCUCAACCUUGGAACUGCCUUUGAAACUCCUGGUCUUGAGGUCGUGAGAGGUGAGUGGAAUUCCGAGUGUAGAGGUGAAAUUCGUAGAUAUUCGGAGGAACACCAGUGGCGAAGGCGGCUCACUGGCACGAUACUGACGCUGAGGUGCGAAAGCGUGGGGAGCAAACAGG